UACGUAGGGGGGCAAGCGUUGUCCGGAUUUAUUGGGCGUAAAGAGCGUGUAGGCGGCCUGACAGGUCUGCUGUGAAAAACUCGAGGCUCAACCUCGAGAUGUCGGCGGAAAACCGUCUGGCUAGAGUCCGGAAGAGGAGAGUGGAAAUUUCCUGGUGUAGCGGUGAAAAUGCGCAGAUAUCAGGAAGAACACCUAUGGCGAAGGCAGCUCUCUGGGGAACGGUACUGACGCUGAGACGCGAAAAAGCGUGGGGGAGCGAACAGGAUUAGAUUACCC
rnacentral:rRNA from 1 species